rnacentral:rRNA from 1 species
GAAUGCUGACAUAAGUAACGAUAAAGCGGGUGAAAAGCCCGCUCGCCGGAAGACCAAGGGUUCCUGUCCAACGUUAAUCGGGGCAGGGUGAGUCGACCCCUAAGGCGAGGCCGAAAGGCGUAGUCGAUGGGAAACGGGUUAAUAUUCCCGUACUUGGUGUUACUGCGAAGGGGGGACGGAGAAGGCUAUGUUGGCCGGGCGACGGUUGUCCCGGUUUAAGCGUGUAGGUGUGUGUUCCAGGUAAAUC